UUUUUUUUUUUUUUUUUUUGUUGGAUGGUCUCCAUUUAUUUUCUGCUUGAGUACUUUUCUUUUCUAUUUUUGUGAAUGUAAUGUUGGUUUUGAUUUCUGCUUGCCCUGUUUUUUAAGUAUGUUAACCCCUUCCUAUAACUGUUUGUUUUAGCCUAAUAGUCCUGUAGGUUCAUACACUUCAUUACCAUAAUAAAAUUUUAAAAGAAGAAAAAAGUGAAAAGAGAUAAAAAAAGAAUCUAUUUCCCUUGCCCAAAUCAUAUGAUUUUGAUGUCUUUUUUUUUUAAAUUUUGUUUUGUUUUAAACAUCUUCAUGAUUAUAUCUGUAUGCUGGCUUAUUUAAGUUACUACUCUCUGAUUGUGGUUUCCUCCAUCCUAGUUCUUCCUCUUUUAUUUUUAAAUUUAGAGAAGCUCUUUCAGUAUUUCUUUUAGAAUGGGUUUUGUAUUGCUGUAUUCUUUUAGCUUUUGUUUGUUGGAGAAAUUUUUUAUUUCCCCUUCUAUUUUAAAUGAUAAUCUUGCUGAAUAGAGUAUUCUAGGUUGCAUAUUUUUUACUUUCAGUGAUUUAAAUAUCUCUUGCCAUUCCCCCCUAGCCUGUAGAGUUUGUAGAGAAAUCAGCUGAUAGCCUUAUGGGAUUUCCCUUAUAAUUGAUGCUUUGCUUUUCUCUUGCUGCCUUUAGGAUCCUUUCUUUAUCAUUAAAUUUUGCCAUUUUUAUUAUAAUUUGUCUUGGUUUGGGUCUAUCUGACUUCAACUUGUUUGGGGCCCUCUGUGCUUCCUGCAUCUUGAACUCAGUAUCCUUUAGAUUUGGAAGUUUCCAGCGAUAAUUUCUUAAAAUAUAUUUUCCAUCCCCUUAUCUUUUUCUACUCAUUCUGGAAUUCCUAUUAUGCAUAGAUUGAUGCCCUUUAUAUUAGCUGAUAGGUUUCUUAUAUUGCUUUGAUGUUUUUUCUUUUGGCUUUCUGUCUGCUGUCCUGAAUGGGUGAUUUCCAUUAUUCUAUCUUCCAUGUCACCAAUUCGUUCCUCUGCAUUAUUCAUUCUGCUCUUUAUUGCCCUUAGCUCAGUUU
rnacentral:lncRNA from 1 species